rnacentral:rRNA from 1 species
GGACGAACGCUGGCGGCGUGCUUACCCCAUGCAAGUCGAACGGAAAGGCCCUGCUUUUGUGGGGUGCUCGAGUGGCGAACGGGUGAGUAACACGUGAGUAACCUGCCCUUGACUUUGGGAUAACUUCAGGAAACUGGGGCUAAUACCGGAUAGGAGCUCCUGCUGCAUGGUGGGGGUUGGAAAGUUUCGGCGGUUGGGGAUGGACUCGCGGCUUAUCAGCUUGUUGGUGGGGUAGUGGCUUACCAAGGCUUUGAUGGGUAGCCGGCCUGAGAGGGUGACCGGCCACAUUGGGACUGAGAUACGGCCCAGACUCCUACGGGAGGCAGCAGUGGGGAAUAUUGCACAAUGGGCGGAAGCCUGAUGCAGCAACGCCGCGUGCGGGAUGACGGCCUUCGGGUUGUAAACCGCUUUCGCCUGUGACGAAGCGUGAGUGACGGUAAUGGGUAAAGAAGCACCGGCUAACUACGUG